rnacentral:rRNA from 1 species
GAUGAACGCUGGCGGUGUGCUUUAGGUAUGCAAGUCGAGCGAGCCACUCUUUUUGGUUAGUAUUUGUUACGAUAGUUGUAUGUACUACGUAUACAUUUUAAAAAGCCAAAAAUAUAAAUCUCUAAAAAUUUAUAUUGGUUGCACUUCAGAUUUAGUUAAACGAGUAAAACAGCAUAAUAACCUUGAAAACAUAUCAACUAGAUAUGGAAUACCAUGGAAGCUGGUUUAUUAUGAGGCAUUUUUAAGCAAAAAAGAUGCUUUAAGUCGAGAAAGAAAACUUAAAACUGGGACUGGUGCAAUUGGUUUUUUAAAACGGCGAAUUUAAUCGUCGCUUAAUAAUAAUUGAAAAGAGUGGCUAGCGGCAGACGGGUGAGUAACGCGUAAGAAUCUACCCUCAAGCGGGGAAUAACUGGUCGAAAGAUCGGCUAAUACCGCAUAAUAACUACGGUUUAAAGGGCUUAACUGCCCACUUGAGGAGGAGCUUGCGUCCUAUCAGCUUGUUGGUGAGGUAAUGGCUUACCAAGGCUAUGACGGGUAUCUGGACUGAGAGGUCGGCCAGACACAGGGGCACUGAGACACGGGCUCCACACCUACGGGUGGCAGCAACCGGGAAUAUUGGGCAAUGGACGAAAGUCUGACCCAGCGACACCGCGUGGAGGAUGAAGGCUUUAGGGUCGUAAACUCCUUUUGAUAGUCCCUUCACAGACUAUAGAAUAAGCUCUUACUAACUACGUGCCAGAAGUCUCGGUAAUACGUAGGGAGCAAGCGUUAUCCGGAUUUAUUGGGCGUAAAGAGUGUGUAGGCGUCUUUUCAAGUUCUUAUUGAAAGACUGAGGCUCAACCUCAGCAUGUGUAAGAAUACUGUUAAGAUAGAGGAUUAUUCGGGAUGCCGGAACAGUUGGUGUAGUAGUGAAAUACGUUGAUAUCAACUGGAACACCGAAGGCGAAGGCAGGCAUCUAGGAUUAUCCUGACGCUGAGACACGAAAGCUAGGGGAGCGAAAAGGAUUAGAGACCCUUGUGGUCCUAGCCGUAAACGAUGGAUACUAGCUAGUGUGAUUUAUUGCACUGGCGUAAGCUAACGCGUUAAGUAUCCCGCCUGGGGAGUACGGCCGCAAAGCUAAAACUCAAAGGAAUUGACGGGGACCCGCACAACCAGUGGAGCGUGUGGUUUAAUUCGAGACAAAGCGAAAAACCUCACCAAGGCUUGACAUGUAAGCGUUCUAUGCCUAAGAAACUAGGCAAAUCCGUAAGGAGGUUUACACAGGUGCUGCAUGGCUGUCGUCAGCUCGUGCCGUGAGGUGUUCCCUUAAGUGGGGAAACGAGUGCAACCCUUGUCUAAUGUUAAAUAUUCAUUAGAGACUGCCUCUAUUUUUUAGAGGAGGAAGGAAAGGCGGACGUCAAGUCAGCAUGGCCCUUAUGCCUUGGGCUACACACACCCUACAAUGGCGAAUAACAAAGAGUCGCAAGUUCGUGAGGACAAGCUAAUCUCAGAAAUUUCGCCUCAGUUCAGAUUGGAGUCUGCAACUCGACUCCAUGAAGUCGGAAUUGGUAGUAAUCGCGGAUCAGCGGGCCGCGGUGAAUACGUUAUCGGGUCUUGUACACACCGCCCGUCAAGGCAGCAAAGUCGAUAACUAUCGAACCUCACCCUUUUCUGUUUAAUUGUAUGUAUUUGUUGGUAAGUCAGGAAAUUCUGAUUUAUUGCUCAGGUACUGAGAUUGAACAAAAAAGGGUGGGGGAGAUAGAGAUUGAUGAUGAGGCUU